CAUGGUCUUUUGUUUUAAUUUAAGAUUUGACCUGCCCGCUGAAAUAUUGAAUGGCCGCGGUAUUUUGACCGUGCAAAGGUAGCAUAAUAAUUAGUUUUUUAAUUGAAAGCUGGUAUGAAUGGUUGGACGAGAAAAUUUCUGUCUCUGUUUAAUUUAAUUAGAAUUUAAUUUUUGAGUUAAAAAGCUCAAAUUUUUUUAAAAGACGAGAAGACCCUAUAGAGUUUAAUAUUAAUAUUAAGGUUAAUAAUUAAGAAUUUAAUUUUUAUUUUAAUUUAAAUAUUUUAUUGGGGUGAUAAGGAGAUAAAAUUAACUCUCUUUUUAUAAUAACAUUAAUUUAUGAAUUUUUGAUCCAAUAUUUUUGAUUAUAAGAAUAAAUUACCUUAGGGAUAACAGCGUAAUCUUUUUAGAGAGUUCUUAUCGAAAUAAGGGAUUGCGACCUCGAUGUUGGAUUAAAAUAAAUUUUUGGUGCAGAAGCUAAAAUAUUAAGUCUGUUCGACUUUUAAAAUUUUACAUGAUCUGAGU
rnacentral:rRNA from 1 species